UACGUAGGGAGCAAGCGUUGUCCGGAAUCAUUGGGCGUAAAGCGCGCGUAGGUGGCCUCAUAAGUCCGCUGUGAAAGUCAAAGGCUCAACCUUUGAAAGCCGGUGGAUACUGUGAGGCUAGAGUACGGAAGAGGCGAGUGGAAUUCCCGGUGUAGCGGUGAAAUGCGCAGAUAUCGGGAGGAACACCAAUUGCGAAGGCAGCUCGCUGGGACGUCGACUGACGCUGAGACGCGAAAGCGUGGGGAAGCAAACAGGG
rnacentral:rRNA from 1 species